GGUCCAGUCAGUCUUAGCCAGCUCAGUCCACACCCUGUUUUUCAGGGUCUUAUCAGUCCUUAGCUUCUGUAGCUGUUUCAACAGUUUGCUUUCACUUAGUCAUGUGCAAUUGCUGCCUGGAAUUUUCUAUUCUGCGACCACCCUGUAUAAUUCCUGCCUCAGAUGUACUGGAACAAAUAAUCGACUGCUGUGACAGAGCUAGCCAAAGGAUGAUUUCCCUUCCACAAUGUGAAAUUGUUUCUAGGAAGGAGCUGUCCAGCAAGGGACUGACUAUCCCAGGAGCCUUGCAUCUAGGGACAUGCCAGAGAUGAUGAUGCUCCACAGCACCAGAGUUCAAGCAAAACAGAAUGGUUGAUAUUUUUAUGUCACAUUCCUGAAGUGAGAAACUGAUUGGUCCAGUUGGUCUAUGGUAAAACACAGUAUCAUGAACAUGGACAUAGAGUCUGUCACCCUGCCCACUGUGGCUUCAGGAGUAAGAGAAAGAGCGUGAGUGGUGGAUUACAAAUAUACUUGAAAGGCCAUCUAUUGCAGGGAUUUCUUGCAAUAGUUGUACAUAAUAUUGACUCAUCACCUAGAAUUGUUCUGCCUCUUAUAUAUAUUUUUUAAUUUUUUAAAUUAUUUAAAUUUUUUGUGGGUACAUAGUAAGUGUAUGUAUUUAUGGGGUAUAUGAGAUGUUUUGAUACAGGCAUGCAAUGUGAAAUAAGCACAUCAUGAAGAAUGGGGUAUCUAUUCCCUCAAGCAUUUAUCCUUUGAGUUAUAAACAAUCCAAUUACAUUCUUUAGAUUAUUUUAAAAUAUGUAAUUACAUUAUUAUUUACUAUGAUCACUCUAUUGUGCUAUCAAAUAGUCUUAUUCAAUAUUUCUAUUUUUGUGCCCAUUAACCAUCCCCACCUUCCGCCAACCCCUCACUGGCGCUUAUAUGGUAAUCUUCAGUAUUUCAUCCUAUCACAGCCCGUCUCCCUAGCUUUUUUCACUUCCUAACUAACUACCACUACAAAUAUGCUCUUCAAAUGUAAUAUAUGCUCUUCAUAUAUUAUUUGACACUUCUCCUUCCUCCUUCUUCAUUAUUUUCUUCUACCACACUUCUUGUUCAAACCUACAAAUUGUCACUUCCAUGGUCUAAAAAUUAUACAUGACAACAGCGAGUGGAUUCAAUCAUCAUCUUUCUUUGCUAUACAACAGACUCUGAGCACUACCAGAAAAUGUUCUUAAAGCAAAUGGAUUGUUCAGAGGAUGAAGGUUUUAAAACUUUUAUAUUUUAUGUUCGACAAGAUGACGCUGUGCCUUACCCUUAUUCAUGAUCUUUUCUCAAGCCAAAAACUUUUAGCCUCUUCUUGAAUCUCUGACUCUAGGAAACCACCACUUUGUUACAGGGUGAUCUCUCUUAAACAUAAACCCACUCGUAUCCUUUCUUCGGCUUAAAAUAACUAAGAACUCAUUUCUACACUAAUUCACCAAGUCAAAAGUCCUCAGCAUUUUGUACAAGGCCCUUCAUGGAGUGUCUCCUACUUACCUCCUGACAUGAUACAUCUCCAUAUGCACCUCCUAUUUCAGCCAAACAAGUCACUGAGAGAUCUCAGGAAGCACUAGUCUCUCUCACCGUACUCUGUCUUUGCACUUCACAUUUCAUCGUUUUUGAAUGUCAUCUCUUCCAUCCUGUGUGUGAUGGGCUCCUCCUCACCCCCUCUAUACGGUCCACGUGUAACCUACUCCGAGAAGCCUUGCUGCCUCCCUUCCACUCCCAGACCACACUUACCCUAUUAGAGUUAAGUUAUUUCUCUUUUCUUCCACCUAGAGCUUCCUUUAUUUAUUUCUCUACUCCCUCUCUAGUCCCCAUCCUACAACUAUGCACCCUAGAGUGGAGAAUUUACAUCUCAAAACCUGAAAAAUAACAAUUAUCCCAAUAAUACUCAGCAAAUGUUUAUAGAAUGAAUGGACAGAUGGGCUUAUAAUAUGAAGAACAGGACAUUCAGUUUAGUUAAUUGGGGGCGUUGGAGACAAGUCGGGGUGCCUAUUACUCAGUAUGUAAUAUUCUGCUCUCUGGUUUGGUAAUUUCACUAAAAUCAAUAACCUAAACUCAACAACAAAAAGUCGUAGCCUGCUUCAAAGAGAGGAACAACCUUUCCUCAAGUUUGCUAUUUCAACAAUAAUUUAAGAAAAUCAUCUUUUUACUACCUGUAGGUGUCACAUGGGACUAACAUUGUGGUCUGUACCUUUUGCCUUCCUUCAUUCCCAGUAAGGAAAUAAAGGAGAUAUGCUGACAUUUUGAUAGAGUGGAAAUCAAUACCUAUAUUUCCAGCAUUACCUACGGAGACAGAGAGUUUUCCAGGCUGGCAGGCUUUACUGCAACCUCUGAAGGUGUUAACAUGUUAAGAGAAAGACUAUGUGGACCAGAGGAAGCAGAACCUUACAGAAGCAAAGGGAAAAAGGCAGAUACAAAGGAGAUCGCAGGUCUGUGUUUCACAAGCACCUGGGAUGUUUGUUUGAAAUGUUGAUGACUGGCCCCACCUCCAUCCUAGUAAAUCAGAAUCUCUGGGAAUAGAGUCCACAAAUUUGAAUUUUAGCAAGCUUCUUGGAUCUUUUUUCAGCCCAUUAACUUGUGGAAAUAUUAAUUCAGAUGUGACUUUCCCCAGAGCUGCAGGGGGAAGGGCCUCACUGUGGAGAUGAGCAUGUCAGACUGAGUAAACCCUGAUGCCCUUUAAACUAUCAGAUCACAAGUCUUACUUUCCAUGUUUUGAUUUCAUAUUUACAGCAUACUCUCUGACAAUUUAGUUUCCAUGCAGCUCAACCUACUGGAGGAAAUUGUGCAGGUAAAGCUCAUAUGGAUUUUGAUCCUUUUUACGAUCCUUUUUAUGACGUUUUCAUUGCAAAUUUACCAAUUAUCAAUGGUUGUUCCAUUUAAUAAUGUCUCAUUAGCUUUUUUCCUGUGAAUUGAAACUCCAAGUCUGAUCAAUUAGCUAAUAAUUCUUGAGCUAUAUUGAGCUUGUGAACAUGCAGGGUUGGAGAUGGACCUUGGAUUACCACUGUGUGUGUCUUUCUUAUGGAGCAUUCCUGGCCUCCUGCUGACAUCUUUUCUACCCCACUUCCAACUGUCUCAUCUUCCUCAAAUGCUUAUAAUGAAUUUGUAGUGGCUUUAUCUGAAGAAAUCAAUACUCAUAAAACAUCUACCCAUGUUGUACUAUUUUAUAGAGUCGGGUUAAAAAAUGAUGCUCCUUAAUAAAUUCAAAGACAGAAUCUACCUUCUAUCUUUCCUGUAGGGGUAAGGCCCAGCUCUGAAAGAAUAAUGUUUAACUAGUGGUGAUUUUGCCUGGUGAUUUUAACCAGGAGACAUUUGACAAUGUCUGGUGAUACUUUUGGUCCUCACAACAGCAAGAUGCUAUUGGCAUCUAGUGGAAGAGGCCAGGGAUGCUGCUGAACAUCUUAAAAUGCACAAGACAUCUCCCUACAAAAAAAUUAUUGGAAUUAUUGGGUACAGUGGUAGAAGAGACUCCUCUGUACCUUCUGCUCGAAUUUUAUACUUCUCUAAAAAGUGAAAUCUAUUAAAAAUUAUCUAGCCCCAAAUGUCAAUAGUACCAAGGUUGAGAAACCCUGUCCUGAAGGAAGCCAUGAGAGUUCUUUACUAAUUCUGAACCUACUUUCAAUUUUUAUGACAAUGCUAGCUAUUGUAAAGGAGAACAAUUUUGUAUACAUAUGCUUCCAAAGUGAGUUCAAAUGUACAUUUCUUUUUUUUCAAAUCAGAAGAUGAUGCUAUACUUUAGUAACAUAUGCUGCACAACAUCACCCUCAAGAUGAAGCCAUUUAGCUAUACCACAAAUAUGAGCCAUGCUGAGGUGAGAAUGAAAUUCACUUUUAAAUGAACAUACUUAUGCCAACAGAGGUAAACUAAAUUAGAAGUAUGCGAUGAGAAAUUUGGUCUCAGAAUUUGGCUAUGAGGGAUGACCUACUUUGUGGGGGGUGGGGGGGCUCAUUUUUGAUUUCCAGAAUCUGUGUGUUUCCCUCAUUGCAUGAGUCUUCCAUACCCACACAUCUUGUGGGCCAUAUGGUGCUCUUUUGGAAUGACUUUCAUUUGAUUUUCUCCUUUUCAGAGAUUUUUUUUUUUUAAAUUUUCACUCUGUCAGAAAGCACAGAGGUCCUUGAGGAAGGGUCUUUUGUCAAAAUGCUCUUCUUAGUAGUAGUGACCUUUGAUGAUUCCACUAGGAUUCUUAGCAGAAUAAUAUAUCUUCUGAAAAAAAAAGCAAAAAACAAACAGACAAAAAAACCAGAAGUAUAGCCUACUGGUGAAGCUUAGAGAAGCAUUUUAUAUAACUUGUUUGGAGGAAGGAAGGAACCCACUCUUCAUUUGGGGUUAGGACUUCAUUAGUUUCCUCAUGGGGAAAAUUCACAGAUUUCUUUUAGGCAGGGGUUGUGUGAUGGGGAAAAUGGGCAAGCACAGAGGUGAGUUAGGGGUUAAGGAUGGGAGAAUACAAACGUCACUUACUGGGGAGUUACUCACUGCAAACCUCAGGGCCAUGGAAGAAAGGCACUUGACAAAAUCACGUGUGACCUGAGAUGUUCAGCAGUGAGGAAGAUGAGAGAAAAUGGCUCACUACUUCUUACAAGGACCAACCCAAAUACGGGGGGACUUCAAAAAAUACAUGGAAAAAUGGAAUUAAAAGACAAAAAUUGCCAACUUUAUUUUUCAACAUAAGCCCCAUCAAGUUCGGGACACUUCUGAAAGCUAUGAUACCAGUCAUUUAGUCCAUCCUUAAAGAAAUGAGAGUUGGGAAUGUAGCCAUGUCAAUGCCAUCUUUUUUUACAUUAGUAACUGAAGAAAAAUGGUGCCCUUUAAAGAUUAGUUAAAUAUUAGGAAACAAAAGAAGUUAGCAGAAUUUAAAUCAAGACUGUAAGGUGAAAGCCUAACGAUUUUCCAUCAAAACUUUCACAAAAUUGCCCUUGUUUGAUGAAAGGAAUGAGCAAGAGCAUUGUCAUGGAGGAGGCAGACUCUCUGGUGAAGCUUUCCCAGGUGUUUUUCUUCUAAAACUUUGGCUAACUUCCUUCAAACACACUCAUAAUAAGCAGAUGUUAUUGUUUUUGCGUCCCACCCCCUGCUCCUGGAAAGUCAACACACAAAAUGCCUUGAGCAUCCCCAAAACUGCCGUGAUCUUUGUUCUUGAUUAAUCCACUUUUGCUUUGACUGGACCUCUUCCACCUCUUGGUAGCCAUUGCUUUGAUUGUGCUUGUCUUUGGGAUCAUACUAGUAAAGCCUUGUCUAUCUCCUGUUACAAUUCUUCAAAGAAAUGCUUCAGGAUCUUGAUCCUACUUGUUUAAAAUUUCAAUUGAAAACUCUGAUCUUGUCUGUAGCUCAAGUGGGCACAACAUUUUUGGCACUUACCAAGUGGAAAGUUUGCUCUGCUUUAAUUUUUAGUUCACAGCUGUGUAAGCUGAAUAAGUUAAGAUGCCUAUGGUGUUGGGCUACUGUUUCUGCUGUUAAUUGCUGGUCCUUUUCAAUUGGGACACAAACAAGAUGAGUGUUUCCUUGCAAGUAUGUGUGGAUGGUAUGGCACUGUGAGCUUCAUCUUCAACAAUAUCUCAUUCCCUCUUGAAAUGAGUUAUUCACUUGUAAACUGCUGAUUUAUUUGGGACAUUUUCCCCAUAAACUUUCAUAAAGCAUUAUUUAUUUCAUCAUUCUUCCACGCAAGUUUUACCAUAAAUUGAUGUUCAUUCUUGCUUUAAUUUUAGCAGAGUUCAUGUUGCUCUGAUUGGGGCUCUCUUGAAACUCAUAUCUUAUCCUUCUUAGUGGCUCAAAUUAGAUGCUGUUGAGGCAUGUUAUAAAAAGUUAGUACAAGUAUAUUUUGGUGCAAAAAAUUUAAAAUCCAUGCAUUUUUUCAGAAUAUAUAUUUGUUUUCUGUAAACUUUUAAACUAUCUAUUAGUAUUGAAAAUGCCAACAGGACAGCAGGAGAGACUCACGAUUAAUUAAAUACAAUUAAGGAGUGGAACUUACUGUACCAAAACAGAACCUGCUCACUUCCCAGAAAGCCUGCCCAGACUUUUAGUUUUCCAUCCAUUGGUCUUCUUUAAAUGUAAUUUUUCAGCUUCAGUGUAACACUCAUUUGCAGAUGAAGCUGGGCUGAAGCACUCUGUUUUCUUCUGGCAGGAUAACACCUCUGUGUGGUCUGUUACAUUUGUUGUCUGCUUAAGACCUUUCCACCAUUGUAUCUGCUUACAAUUGGUGAAACUCCUGUUUGGUAAGUUGCUUCUCAGUAGAAAUGCAAUCAUAGCCAUUAUCUGUAGGAUGGCACCUUCUCUACUGUUUAGUGUUUUGGAUUAGUGGAAGAGCUUUCCCAGUUGAUAGUUUGCUAUCACCUACUCAAAGCCAGGCAGCCUUUUAGCCAAUUUCAACAUGCUGCUGCAGGCAAAGAGACACAAAUCUGAAAUCCAGGAAAAUUAAGAAGCCAUUUAAAAUCUCUUCUACAAUGGCUCACACCAGUGUCAAAAAGGGUUUACAUUCAUAUCACUGAGAAAAUAACUUUAAAACCUCUUUUCCCCUAUCUCUCUGAUUCUUUAUUCAGGCAUACAAGCUGUUGGGAAAUUUCUCUUCUCUAUCCUCCAAAACUCUAUAAACCCAGUCCAUGUUAGGUUGAGUACCUCCUACCAUCUUUCUGGAUCUUUUAAGCUGUCCAUCAAAUGCUGUUCUUCCGUUCUAAUCUAGAUUGGUCUAGCUUUCAAAGCAUUUUUCAGUUUUCCUUUCUAUCCAUUACAUGAACAACAAAACUGUCACGUGCCAGGCAAUGAGAAUUUGCUACUUUUGAAAGUUAUUUCAAAGAUAAAAGCUUAGCAAAUCCAUACUUUCCCCGCAAAAUCACAUGAACGUGCUCACAGUGACAAGGCACCCUGCACUCUGUUCUUUUUGAGGAGAAAAUGACAAUUAAUUCUCAUGUCAAAUUGUUAAAAGUAUGUCUACACAGGAUUAAUAUUUUGGUGGCCCAGAGCAGAAAAAUGCAUUUUAGCAAAUCGCCUAGAAAGAGUGAUUCCAUUCUAUGAAUAGGUUCUUGAAGUUCUUAUUGGUACUGACUGUCAAAGCUGUAGAGUUUCUUUCUUUCUUGAUGUCUUAAUGUAACUAAUUUCUAGACAGAAAGGAAGGCAUGUCCAGGCUUCUCUCAAAAAGGAUCAUCUUGUUAAUUCUUUCAUGAAUUAAUCCUGUGGGUGAUUAGCAAUUCAGGAGCAGGUGUUCAGUUGAGCCUCUGGAGGACCUAUGCCCUUUUCAACUCAGAGGAAGUCCUAGACUGGCUAGGAUUUUAGAGAUAAUGGCAGAACCAAGGGCUGAAAGCCUAUGAUGGGAGGCAUUCUGUCUCACCAACUGGUGAGAAGAACAGAGUGCCUUGCUACUAUUUGUGUGUGUGUAUGUUUGUGUGCCUGUGUCAUGUGUGUAUGUGUGUGUGUGUGUGUGUGUGUGUGUGUGUGUGUGUGUGUGUGUAUUUUGUAAAGUACAGCUUUGCUUACCCUUUUUUUUGGAUGGAGUUUUGCUUCUGUUGCCCAGGCUAGAGUGCAAAUGCGCGAUCUAGGCUCACUCUAAUCUCUGUUUCCCGGGCUUGAGUGAUUCUCCUGCCUCAGUCUCCCCAGUAGCUAGAAUUAUAGGCGUGCAUCACCACACCUGGCUAUUCUUUGUAUUUUUAGUAGAGACGGGGUUUCAGCAUGUUGACCAGGCUGGUCUCAAACUCCUGACCUCAGGUGAUUCGCCUGCUUCAGCCUCCCAAAGUGUUGGGAUUACAGGUGUGAGCCACUGUGCCUGGCCUGCUUACCCUUAUUAUUAAAAUCACAAAAUUUUAAAGUGCUAAAUUAAAUGAUACAUUUAGUACUGUAGGAGUUCAGGUAUCUGGGAGAUAAAAGCAAGUUGUGUUAGUUCUGGAGACAAAUCAGGCCUUGAAUGAGACAGGGAGAAGAACUAAAGACCUAAUCAUAAUCUCUUUUUUACAUACUUUCAAUUUUUAAAAUUUGAAUAAAAGUAUGCAAAUAUUAAAAAUGGGCCAGGCGCAGUGGCUCACACUUGUAAUCCCAGCACUUUGGGAGGCCUAGGUGGGCAGAUCACGAGGUUAGGAGGACUUCGAGACCAGCCUGGCCAACACAGUGAAAUCCCGUCUCUACUAAAAAUUCAAAAAUUAGUUGGGAAUGGUGGCAGACGCCUGUAAUCCCAGCUACUCAGGAGGCUGAGGCAGGAGAAUCGCUUGAACCUGGCAGACAGGGGUUGUAGUAAGCCGAGAUCA
rnacentral:lncRNA from 1 species